GACGUGACAAUCCAUUGCCCCAGAAAACAAGUCCAUAGCGGAAGAAAGAAGUGGACAGGCCUUCUAGAGGCGUGAACUGCAGAGAUCCAAGACCAUGAGAAUGACUAAUCCAUAGAACAUGGGACCCAAACCCAAGAGUGACAUCAAUGAUUGACAACAAGAGAGCACACUGUUCUGAGCUGUCUUUGAGUACUCUCCUGAUUUCCUUCUCUGCUUUGACAGGAGUGGAGAUUGUAGUGAGCCGAGAUUGCAACACUGCAUUCCAGCCUGGCGACAGAGCAAGACUCCAUCUCAAACACAAAAACAAAACAAAGCAAAACAAAAAAACUGUCUCUUCUAAGGCAAAACACAUUUCUAUCUUUCCCAUCCUUUUCAACCUGAAGUCUCAGGAUUCCUGUUAA
rnacentral:lncRNA from 1 species